rnacentral:rRNA from 1 species
GCCUACGGGUGGCUGCAGUGGGGAAUAUUGGGCAAUGGGCGCCAGCCUGACCCAGCAACGCCGCGUGAAGGAAGAAGGCUUUCGGGUUGUAAACUUCUUUUCUCAGGGACGAAGAAAGUGACGGUACCUGAGGAAUAAGCCACGGCUAACUACGUGCCAGCAGCCGCGGUAAUACGUAGGGGGCGAGCGUUAUCCGGAAUUACUGGGUGUAAAGGGAGCGUAGACGGCGAGGUAAGCCUGAAGUGGAAGCCCGCGGCCCAACCGCGGAACUGCUUUGGGAACUGUUUUGCUGGAGUAUGGGAGGGGUAAGCGGAAUUCCUGGUGUAGCGGUGAAAUGCGUAGAUAUCAGGAGGAACACCGGUGGCGAAGGCGGCUUACUGGACCAUAACUGACGUUGAGGCUCGAAAGCGUGGGGAGCGAACAGGAUUAGAUACCCUUGUAGUC